GGCCAUAUGGUGGUAUUCAUAUACAAACAAAUUCAAUGUCAUCUUCCAGUUAAUUGUCGAUUUUCUUAUUUUGUAUUUUAACAUCAUGCGGGAGUAUCACUAGUAAGCAUUGGCUCUUAGAUAUCUUAAUCGAGUAACCAAUACACAAUGUACAAUAUCACCCCUGCGAAUGUGUUCGGAAUGUUUUCUUUAUCGUUGCCAAGUAUGUAAUAAAUCCAGAGCUGCUCGAAUGAAAGUUCACGAUACUUCACCGAGAUUUGUUCAGUUCCUGUGAAAUUUCAAGCGGAAGUUUAAGUGUUCAGAUAAACUUCUCAAAAUACAAAGAGCCAUACCGAUGUAGCAUGACGAUAUUCAAUGUCAAUGAAACAUAUUCAACAAACGCCGAGAAGAAAAAGUUAAGGAACCGAUUCCCAGCCAAAGAUGUCGCCAUUAAGGUCAAUCCAAAAUAAGUCAGAUUAUCUGUAACCC